rnacentral:rRNA from 1 species
AUUGAACGCUGGCGGCAUGCUUUACACAUGCAAGUCGAACGGCAGCGCGGGGCAACCUGGCGGCGAGUGGCGAACGGGUGAGUAAUAUAUCGGAACGUACCCAAGAGUGGGGGAUAACGUAGCGAAAGUUACGCUAAUACCGCAUACGCUCGGGAGAGGAAAGUGGGGGAUCGCAAGACCUCACGUUAUAGGAGCGGCCGAUGUCUGAUUAGCUAGUUGGUGAGGUAAAGGCUCACCAAGGCGACGAUCAGUAGCUGGUCUUAGAGGAUGAUCAGCCACACUGGGACUGAGACACGGCCCAGACUCCCACGGGAGGCAGCAGUGGGGAAUUUUGGACAAUGGGGGCAACCCUGAUCCAGCCAUGCCGCGUGCGGGAAGAAGGCCUUCGGGUUGUAAACCGCUUUAGUCUAGGAAAAAGGAAUGCAGGAUUAAUACCCUUGUGUUUUGAUGGUACUGGAAGAAUAAGCACCGGCUAACUACGUGCCAGCCGCCGCCGUAA